rnacentral:piRNA from 1 species
UGCAGUCCAGUCCUAGAGGGACAGCAGC